CCUACGGGGGGCAGCAGUGGGGAAUAUUGGACAAUGGGCGCAAGCCUGAUCCAGCCAUGCCGCGUGUGUGAUGAAGGCCUUAGGGUUGUAAAGCACUUUCACCGGAGAAGAUAAUGACGGUAUCCGGAGAAGAAGCCCCGGCUAACUUCGUGCCAGCAGCCGCGGUAAUACGAAGGGGGCUAGCGUUGUUCGGAAUUACUGGGCGUAAAGCGCACGUAGGCGGAUAUUUAAGUCAGGGGUGAAAUCCCAGAGCUCAACUCUGGAACUGCCUUUGAUACUGGGUAUCUUGAGUAUGGAAGAGGUAAGUGGAAUUGCGAGUGUAGAGGUGAAAUUCGUAGAUAUUCGCAGGAACACCAGUGGCGAAGGCGGCUUACUGGUCCAUAACUGACGCUGAGGUGCGAAAGCGUGGGGAGCAAACAGGAUUAGAUACCC
rnacentral:rRNA from 1 species